AUGUGGAAAGGAAGGUGUUGGGAGGGAGGGAGAGGAGAAGGAGCGUGUCCGACGCCGGAAUGGAAGGAGAUUGGUGCGGAAGGGCGGAAUUAUUGUUGGAGACUGUGCGGAGUGUCCAGCAGAGGUCAGUGCCACCGCAGUUUGGUCGGCCUGACCGUCCCCUCCCCCACGGGCGCUGGACCUGCCCAAGGUCAGCUCUGCAGAUGGCUCAGAUGGACUUGCGGGAGGGAGAAGCGCCUUCACCUUCAGCCCAUCUGGGUGACCCCGCUGGAGCUCAUCCUCCCCGCUGCUCAAUCUGGGAAGAAGAGCCCCGAGAGUCUCUGCGGCGGCAACAUCCCAGGGAGAGGGCCGGAGAGGCCGGCCUGGCCCUCGGAAUCGCAGAGGCCUUCCGGGAGCGGACAUCCAAAGGCCGGUUGUCCGCCCGGUUCCCCAGCCGGACGUCCCACCCGGGGCCGCCUCGAGAUGAGCCGGACCCCGACGCCGUCGACGACCGGGGAAGCAGGCGGAGAUUCGUGCAUUUCACUUCCCAAUGGAGCCACAAGGUGGCACCAGGACCCAACUUUGCCCGGGAAUCCGCCGACGUCGCCCAGCAAACUGCGGGUCCAGGUGGGUUUCCCUGGCUCUGAUGAAUCCAUGGUAUUUAUUGAGCGCUUAGCGUGGGCAGAACUCUAUCCUAAGCACUCGGGAGAGGACAGUGCAACAGACUUGAUGGACGUAUUCCCCUCCCACAACAAGCUGACAGUCCAGAGGGGGAGACAGACAAUACAGAUAAAUAUAUAAAGUAGAAAUAUAAUAUAGAGAACACGUUAGAGAAUUAUGUAAUAGGAAUAAAUGGUAUAAAUAUAAAUGAAUUAUUGCUAUUCAUUCAAUCGUAUUUACUGAGCGUUUACUGUGUGCCGAGCACUGUAAUAAUAAUAAUGAUGAUGGUAUUUGUUAAGCGCUUACUAUGCGCCAAGGACUGUUCGUAGCACUGGGUGGGGCGGGGGGGGAAUACAAGGUAAUCAGGAUGUCCCACGUGGGACUCACAGACUUAAUCCCCAUUUUACAGAUGAGGUCACUGAGGCACAGAGUGACUUGCCCAAAGUCACACAGCUGACGUGACGGAGUCAGGAUUAGAACCCAUGACCUCUGACACCCAAGCCUGUGCUCUUUCCACUGAGCCACGCUGCUUCUCUGUAUUGAGAGCUUGGGAGAGUACAAUACAAC
rnacentral:lncRNA from 1 species